UAGUUAAUGAACUUGUAAAAGUAUAUAUUUUGAAAAUAUAAAAAAGAAUUAAAUUUCUAUUAACU
rnacentral:tRNA from 1 species